CGUUCCCGCCGUUGCCACCUCUCUUCCCCUCCAAUCCCGCCGCCGCACUAGGGUUCCUGCUACCCCUCGACGUCCGCGCCGCCCCUCUUUAAAUAUGAUAGCCGCGCCGCCCCCUCUCUCUUUCUGCACGUGCAAGCCUCAUCAGGCGCCGCGCGCUCCCAAAACCCUAGCCGCCGGGCCGCCAUUGGAGCCGACCUCCAAGCCGCCCGCGCCGCCGCCGCCAUCCGCAGUCCACGCCAAGAUUCAAUGCCAAAGAACACCGGGACGACCACCAAGACCUCGGAAGGAACGCCUCCGGCGGCUCUUUGUCGUCCACCGUCACUCCUGGCGUCGUGCUCGCAUCGCCGAACUCCGCCGCCCAAGCCUCACCGACGAGGGUCGCCUUCCUGCCGUCUUGAAUCGUCGCGAGCCGUCCUGAUGAAGCCUGGAAAAGCACCGGCUGCGAAGAAGAUCGUCGGGGGCGUCAAGAAGGUGUCCUCCUUGCCUGCGGAGAAGGAGCGCCCUUUCCAAUUCAGAAAAGGACGAUGUGGGGAUUCGAGUUCCAGCUCCAACGAUGACGUGUUAGAAGAAUAGUUUGUUCCGGGGCCAGUCGUUCAACAACUGCAGAUCGAGGUGCUCCAAGAGCGAUGCCACAAAAGGGGAGAUCAAGAACCUCCAAAAGAGGGUGGUGUCUAAGAAGAUCAAGGAUCUCAAAAAAAAUGUGGAUGCCAGCAUUGCCAAGAUUUUGCAGCCUUAGAAGUCAUGCCUAGUUUAAUUUAGUUCCCUUGUGCCUACAUUCAUGCAGUUUUUGUAUAAUGUGCCCAGACUUGUAUGGAUUCUCCUUUUAUUACUUUUAAUGUUACUAUGCAUUUUCCAAACUAUAUACACGCCCAUGUUGUUACCUGGCCCUUGGUCAGCUAGGUAGGUUAGCUUUGGUAAACCAUGCCUAUCAUCAUUUUUUUUUUCUUGAAUGUUGCCUACAUUUUCAUGUUGUAUAACAUGCACUAGUCAUUAUCUGUUGAAUGUUGGCAAUA